CCAGGCAUUCCAGUUCUACGAGAGAACUCAAAGAUUUCGACACACCUCAGGGACUCAUGCACACACACACUAGUCUAUACACCCCUCAGAUGCCGUUACAUAUACACACAUUUGCGUUUUCACUCUCUCCCUGCAGUAAGAUCAAAACAAAUUUUACUUACAAGCCCUUAACCAACAAUGCAGUUUUAAGAAAAAUAAGUGUUAAGUAAAAAUGGAAAAAUAAAAAAUAGAAGUAACAUGUAAUUAAAAGCUGCAGUAAAAUAACUUUAACGAGGCUAUACAGAGUCAAUGUGCGGGGGCACCGGUUAGUCGAGGUAAUUGAGGUAAUAUGCAGUGGUGUAAAGUACUUAAGUAAAAAUACUUUAAGGUACUACCUAAGUAGUUUUUUGGCGUAUAUGUACUUUAUUUAACUAUUUAUAUUUUUUGACAACUUUUACUUUUACUCCACUACAUUCCUAAAGAAAAUAAUGUACUUUUUACUCCUUACAUUUUCCCUGACAACCAAAAGUACUUGUCACAUUUUGAAUGCUUAGCAGGACAGGAAAAUGGUCUAAUUUACGCACUUAUCAAGAGAACAUCCCUGGUCAUCCCUACUGCCUCUGAUCAGGCAGACUCACUAAACACAAAUGCUUCGUCUGUAAAUCCAAAUAAUUUUAGACUUUUACUCAAGUGGUAUUUUACUGGGGGACUUUCACUUUUACUUGAGUCAUUUUCUUUUAAGGUAUCUCUACUUUUACUCGUGUGUGUGUGUGAUCUCCUGAUCAGUGUGUAUCCUUUGUUGUUAUUCAGAGUAAAGUGUGCAGCCCCGUGAGUGGGAGUCCUGUGGAUGGGGUCCGCUCUUCCUCCUCUGUUCUGCCUCUACUGACCCCCAGACCCAGCCUACAGCAGCCACUCCCUGCUGUGGUCCUCUGCUGCUGCUGUGUGGUGGGGAAGACUUACUGCAACAGAGUGCAUUGCGCCAUUUGACAUUGACUCUUGGAGUUGCCCCUAAAAUAAUGUAUUGAACCAAAAUUUCUCUUUUCCAGGCUUAUGGGGGGGUCCACGUUAACAUGGCCAACACCCCCUGUAAUCUACACCAUGGUGCAUUGGAGUAAUCCAGUAGAUUCGUAUGGGGGAAAUGUAUUUACUGAACCAGGUGACAUAGCUGUAUUUAAACCAAUGGCCUGGUCAGAUCCAAACUGUCCUCUUGACUAAGGUCCUGGUGGUACUGGUCCUUAAAGGGGUCAAGUCUGGUCUGGACUGAACUCUGGUGAUGAUUCCUAAUCUUUCAAAUAUUUUAUUUUAUGCUUGCCACCAAAUAUUUUCUGACCAAAGUUUUAGCUGUAGCUUUCAUAUUCUUUCCGAAUUAAUACUAUCCAAAUUCACUUUACGUAACUAAGGCUGAUGCAGGAUAUUCUCUGGGUUUUUGUGUAUACUGUAUAUUUUUGAUUGAUGUUUCAACAUAUUUUGCAGUAUAACAUUUGGUUGUUUGAUUUUGUUGUAUUUUACUGUGGUCUUAUUAUUGUUAAGUGUGGUCUUAUUAUUGUUAAGUGUAAGUACGUGUAUCUGGUUGAAUUGAACUUCAACCACCAAGGAACUAUCUGCCUGACAGAUAUUGUAACAAACUAUAAAGGUAUCCGCAUACAUAGGUUCGGUUUGCUCCUAGCAGAAUUCAGCUAGGCGAAGUGAACGUCUGUGCUCGCAUACUCCCUUAAAAUUCCUUUGCUUGAAAAAUGAGAAAAAAGCUGCAAUAUUACUGUUUGAUGCCGUAGCCAGUACAAUGUCAAAAUAGUCAAAAUUAAUCCAAAGAUAACUCAAGAAAUCUGUAAUUAAUUUUGACGGUUUUGCCAAGGUCUUACAUCUAACCAAGAUGUUUGGUGCAGUAUUUCUCAAGUCACUGUGCAUGAAAACAAGAACAAAGAUUUUGAAAUUCUUCUUUAUUCCAUGAAUUCCAGUUUGAGGUUUCAACUAUUGACAACCUUCCCUGACCCAAGCACAGCAGACACAAAAUGGCAUGAUAGUGGUAGAGUUCAGAAAAUAAAAUACAACAAAUUUAAUUACAAAGAGGUAAGGAAGA